rnacentral:rRNA from 1 species
GACGAACGCUGGCGGCGUGCUUAACACAUGCAAGUCGAACGGUGAAGCGCCUUCCUUUUUGGUGGGUGUGGAUGAGUGGCGAACGGGUGAGUAACACGUGAGUAACCUGCCCCCUUCUUCUGGAUAACCGCAUGAAAGUGUGGCUAAUACAGGAUAUUCUGGGUCUGUCGCAUGAUGGGUCUGGGAAAGAUAUUGUUUCGGUGGGGGAUGGGCUCGCGGCCUAUCAGCUUGUUGGUGGGGUGAUGGCCUACCAAGGCGGUGACGGGUAGCCGGCCUGAGAGGGUGGACGGUCACACUGGGACUGAGACACGGCCCAGACUCCUACGAGAGGCAGCAGUGGGGAAUAUUGCACAAUGGGCGCAAGCCUGAUGCAGCGACGCCGCGUGAGGGAUGGAGGCCUUCGGGUUGUGAACCUCUUUCGCCAGUGAAGCAGGCCUGCCUCGUUUGUGGGUGGGUUGACGGUAGCUGGAUAAGAAGCGCCGGCUAACUACGUG